GAUGAACGCUAGCGGGAGGCUUAACACAUGCAAGUCGAGGGGCAGCAUAGGGUAGCAAUACUCUGAUGGCGACCGGCAAACGGGUGAGUAACGCGUAUGCAACCUACCCUGUACAGGGGGAUAACCCGGAGAAAUUCGGACUAAUAUCCCGUAAUAAUAUCCGGAGGCAUCUUUGGAUAUUUAAAGUUCCGACGGUACGGGAUGGGCAUGCGUAACAUUAGCUGGUUGGUAAGGUAACGGCUUACCAAGGCUAUGAUGUUUAGGGGUCCUGAGAGGGUGGUCCCCCACACUGGUACUGAGACACGGACCAGACUCCUACGGGAGCAGCAGUGAGGAAUAUUGGUCAAUGGGCGCAAGCCUGAACCAGCCAUCCCGCGUGCAGGAAGACGGCCCUAUGGGUUGUAAACUGCUUUUCCAGGGAGAGAAACUUACGCACGUGUUGCGUGACUGACGGUACCCUGGGAAUAAGCAUCGGCUAACUCCGUGCCAGCAGCCGCGGUAAUAGUGU
rnacentral:rRNA from 1 species